rnacentral:lncRNA from 1 species
CGAAUGUGGCAGCAUCAGGUGUGCUGAGCAGUAGCCGUGAGCAUUGCUGAGCUAGUGGCAGUGCUUUGGGUGCCAGAAGUCCAGCUGUGACCACAGCUAAGUCUCCAUGUGAGUGCAGUUUGAAACUGUACUAAUUUAAUUUGAAGUGUGACUCACUGCCUUUCAGCUGCAGACAUGAUAUAUAUAUUUCCAAGGGCAAGAUCAUAUAUUUCACAGUAGUUUUCCUUUAUAUGAAAUAGGCUUCCUGUGGGGAAUCUACACUGGUUCUGAACAUACUGCAGUGCUGCAAAGUGUUCUACAGCAGAUCUUAAGCAUGUAAGAUCAACAGGACUGAAAUAC